UGGUUAAAUAUUUUUGUAACUUCAGUCUUUUUGUUUUACGUUCUUUUUUGUUUUUUAGAAAAAAUAAAAGAAGCGCUCCUUACAACGGCCAGCCGGCUGAUCUCCCCGUCUCCGUCAGCAUUCCCACUAAAGCCGUCUUGUUGACCAUGAUUUGCUAGAUUUCAUAUAAAUCCACCUGAAACUUCCUCUCUUUUGCUCUCCCCGACCUUAUCCGUGAAGGAUCGUGUUUGUUUUUCAGGAAGUAGCUAAUCUAGGGUCUGGAAAAACCUAAUUCGGGCAAAAUCUUCGUCAAAUUCCGACUACAUUCGAGGUACGAUUUCGUGCGGUUCUGUAUAUGCAUCUGACAUUGUUGCCUCUUUUAGACCAAACGACACCGUUAAUCUGCCUGGAAACGCCGCAGAAGCAGUUGCGGUUUUCAUCCGCUUAAGAAACAGCUACCUUUACAAUAUCAUCGUUGACUUUAUCAGAUGAAGCAUCUUGCAGUAUCAAUUUUCGAAUCCGAGUUCUGUCGUUUCGGGCAUACAGUGUGGUGUAGUGGUUUAUGCCAACAAAGUCGAAGGAUCCCACCAGGAGUUUUGAGACUGCACUUGAAAUGUUUGGUUGUAACUAUGAUAAGCGGCAGCAUGAGACAAGAGGAUAUUGUGAGCGACAAUGUAUGGUUCCGUGGAUGAUUUUCCCAUUUUGCAAAAGAGAUGACCAAGAAGAGAACAUCUUCCAGGAGCUUGAAUGCCCAAGU